GCCCACCAAAACGACUUGUGAUUGGAAACUGGUCAGUGAUGCAAGGAAAGAGUCUGGGGAUGUCAACAAAUUUGAUUUGGAAUUAUCUCGAUCGUAUUUUGAACAGAUGUGCAUUGUAUCCACAACCAUCUGACAUACGGCGGAUUUAUCCAACAUAUCACUAGCUCAAAAUGAA
rnacentral:sRNA from 1 species